GAUGAACGCUGGCGGCGUGCCUAAUACAUGCAAGUCGAGCGAACGGACGAGAAGCUUGCUUCUCUGAUGUUAGCGGCGGACGGGUGAGUAACACGUGGAUAACCUACCUAUAAGACUGGGAUAACUUCGGGAAACCGUAGCUAAUACCGGAUAAUAUUUUGAACCGCAUGGUUCAAAAGUGAAAGACGGUCUUGCUGUCACUUAUAGCUGGAUCCGCGCUGCAUUAGCUAGUUGGUAAGGUAACGGCUUACCAAGGCAACGAUGCAUAGCCGACCUGAGAGGGUGAUCGGCGACACUGGAACUGAGACACGGUCCAGACUCCUACGGGAGGCAGCAGUAGGGAAUCUUCCGCAAUGGGCGAAAGCCUGACGGAGCAACGCCGCGUGAGUGAUGAAGGUCUUCGGAUCGUAAAACUCUGUUAUUAGUGAAGAACAUAUGUGUAAGUAACUGUGCACAUCUUGACGGUACCUAAUCAGAAAGCAACGGCUAACUACGUG
rnacentral:rRNA from 1 species